rnacentral:rRNA from 1 species
CCCCUCGAGAGUGGCGAACGGGUGAGUAAUAUAUCGGAACGUGCCCAGUCGUGGGGGAUAACGUAGCGAAAGUUACGCUAAUACCGCAUACGAUCUAAGGAUGAAAGCGGGGGAUCGCAAGACCUCGCGCGAUUGGAGCGGCCGAUAUCAGAUUAGGUAGUUGGUAGGGUAAAGGCCUACCAAGCCAACGAUCUGUAGCUGGUCUGAGAGGACGACCAGCCACACUGGAACUGAGACACGGUCCAGACUCCUACGGGAGGCAGCAGUGGGGAAUUUUGGACAAUGGGCGAAAGCCUGAUCCAGCCAUUCCGCGUGCAGGAUGAAGGCCCUCGGGUUGUAAACUGCUUUUGUACAGAACGAAAAGGUCUCUAUUAAUACUAGGGGCUCAUGACGGUACUGUAAGAAUAAGCACCGGCUAACUACGUGCCAGCAGCCGCGGUAAUACGUAGGGUGCAAGCGUUAAUCGGAAUUACUGGGCGUAAAGCGUGCGCAGGCGGUUAUAUA